UACAGAGGUCUCAAGCGUUGUUCGGAUUCAUUGGGCGUAAAGGGCGCGUAGGCGGCGAGGUAAGUCGGGUGUGAAAUCUCAGAGCUCAACUCUGAAACUGCACUCGAUACUGCUUUGCUAGAGGACCGGAGAGGAGAUUGGAAUUCACGGUGUAGCAGUGAAAUGCGUAGAGAUCGUGAGGAAGACCAGUGGCGAAGGCGGAUCUCUGGACAGUUCCUGACGCUGAGGCGCGAAGGCCAGGGGAGCAAACGGG
rnacentral:rRNA from 1 species